rnacentral:rRNA from 1 species
UGCAGUCGAGCGGUAACAGAUCCAGCUUGCUGGAUGCUGACGAGCGGCGGACGGGUGAGUAAUGCAUAGGAAUCUGCCCGGUAGUGGGGGAUAACCUGGGGAAACCCAGGCUAAUACCGCAUACGUCCUACGGGAGAAAGGGGGCUUCGGCUCCCGCUAUCGGAUGAGCCUAUGUCGGAUUAGCUAGUUGGUGAGGUAACGGCUCACCAAGGCCACGAUCCGUAGCUGGUCUGAGAGGAUGAUCAGCCACAUCGGGACUGAGACACGGCCCGAACUCCUACGGGAGGCAGCAGUGGGGAAUAUUGGACAAUGGGGGGAACCCUGAUCCAGCCAUGCCGCGUGUGUGAAGAAGGCCCUCGGGUUGUAAAGCACUUUCAGCGAGGAAGAACGCCUAGCGGUUAAUACCCGCUAGGAAAGACAUCACUCGCAGAAGAAGCACCGGCUAACUCCGUGCCAGCAGCCGCGGUAAUACGGAGGGUGCAAGCGUUAAUCGGAAUUACUGGGCGUAAAGCGCGCGUAGGUGGCUUGAUAAGCCGGUUGUGAAAGCCCCGGGCUCAACCUGGGAACGGCAUCCGGAACUGUCAAGCUAGAGUGCAGGAGAGGAAGGUAGAAUUCCCGGUGUAGCGGUGAAAUGCGUAGAGAUCGGGAGGAAUACCAGUGGCGAAGGCGGCCUUCUGGACUGACACUGACACUGAGGUGCGAAAGCGUGGGUAGCAAACAGGAUUAGAUACCCUGCUAGUCCACGCCGUAAACGAUGUCGACCAGCCGUUGG